AGGUUCAGCUUUGCCAGUUUCUUGGAGUUUUCUGGGGUGUUUGGUUAGGUCCAGCCGGCAAUAAUCAAUGACCAGCCAAGGACUAUCUUUCAAUUAAUUCAAUUUCUUGUGUAAAUGAUUUACAUUUGCAGAGGAAAAAUUGAUUCAGGGUCUGCUUUGAACCUGGGAAAGCACUUGAAUAUCAUUAAAGGAUCCCGCAUUGGAAAUUCCGGCAACUGGUUGGAAUUACUUGUUCUGGUUUUGUUGAUAAACGUGCCCUGAAAGACCGAGAUGCCAUCCUCAAACAUCGCUCCCUUGAAUAGUGAGCAGAAUACAGUGAAAACUUCAGGAUACAAGGUUCCAGCUUUGAAAGUCAACAGUAGUCCUGGAGCUGGGAAAGUUGACCCGAAUGCUAUCAAACGCGAGUAUGCAGAGAAAUUCCGGUACAAUGUGACGAUUGCUACAAAUCGCGAACAAUUCAACAAUUUGCAUCAUUGUUGAAAUGCAUUGUUCUCCCGUUGUUGCAACUAAAGGAUUUUGCCCGUACAUUACCAUAUGCAUGAAGCAUUGGAAGCAAUAAAGGUGUUUUCUGUUAGUGAA